AUUGAACGCUGGCGGAAUGCUUUACACAUGCAAGUCGAACGGCAGCACGGGGGCAACCCUGGUGGCGAGUGGCGAACGGGUGAGUAAUACAUCGGAACGUGCCCAGUCGUGGGGGAUAACUAAUCGAAAGGUUGGCUAAUACCGCAUACGCCCUACGGGGGAAAGCAGGGGAUCUUCGGACCUUGCGUUAAUGGAGCGGCUGAUAUCUGAUUAGCUAGUUGGUGAGGUAAAGGCUCACCAAGGCGACGAUAAGUAGCUGGUCUGAGAGGACGACCAGCCACACUGGAACUGAGACACGGUCCAGACUCCUACGGGAGGCAGCAGUGGGGAAUUUUGGACAAUGGGCGCAAGCCUGAUCCAGCCAUUCCGCGUGAGUGAAGAAGGCCUUCGGGUUGUAAAGCUCUUUCGCAAGGGAAGAAAACUUACUUUCUAAUAAAGAGUGAGAUUGACGGUACCUUGAUAAGAAGCACCGGCUAACUACGUGCCAGCCGCCGCAGUAA
rnacentral:rRNA from 1 species